rnacentral:rRNA from 1 species
CGAGCGAACGGACGAGAAGCUUGCUUCUCUGAUGUUAGCGGCGGACGGGUGAGUAACACGUGGAUAACCUACCUAUAAGACUGGGAUAACUUCGGGAAACCGGAGCUAAUACCGGAUAAUAUUUUGAACCGCAUGGUUCAAAAGUGAAAGACGGUCUUGCUGUCACUUAUAGAUGGAUCCGCGCUGCAUUAGCUAGUUGGUAAGGUAACGGCUCACCAAGGCAACGAUGCAUAGCCGACCUGAGAGGGUGAUCGGCCACACUGGAACUGAGACACGGUCCAGACUCCUACGGGAGGCAGCAGUAGGGAAUCUUCCGCAAUGGGCGAAAGCCUGACGGAGCAACGCCGCGUGAGUGAUGAAGGUCUUCGGAUCGUAAAACUCUGUUAUUAGGGAAGAACAUAUGUGUAAGUAACUGUGCACAUCUUGACGGUACCUAAUCAGAAAGCCACGGCUAACUACGUGCCAGCAGCCGCGGUAAUACGUAGGUGGCAAGCGUUAUCCGGAAUUAUUGGGCGUAAAGCGCGCGUAGGCGGUUUUUUAAGUCUGAUGUGAAAGCCCACGGCUCAACCGUGGAGGGUCAUUGGAAACUGGAAAACUUGAGUGCAGAAGAGGAAAGUGGAAUUCCAUGUGUAGCGGUGAAAUGCGCAGAGAUAUGGAGGAACACCAGUGGCGAAGGCGACUUUCUGGUCUGUAACUGACGCUGAUGUGCGAAAGCGUGGGGAUCAAACAGGAUUA